GAUUACGCCACUGCACUCCAGCCUGGGCGACAGAGCGAGCCUCCGUCUCAAAAAAAUAAACAAAUAAUGGAGUCCACAUGACUUUCAGAAGUGACAGGGCAGUGACCAGCAAGUGAGGCUCAGGGAAAUCCAACUUUUAUUUAGUUAGCCUGAUAUUUUUCCAGUUCAUCAAAUAUGCAUUCCCAUGGAACUUGUGGGAGUUUUCAUUCUCAUGCCCAGUUGGCUGGAGGAACGGCCAGGGUAGGUGGCAGGAGGUGAGGCAUGUUUGUGGCAGGGCCGGGCUUGAGCAAAGCUGAGGUCUGCCCUGAGCUCACUGCGAAGACUGAUCUGCGUGGGUCUGCAGGUGAGUUAGGGGCCUGUGACCCGGCUGCCCAGCAGGCUCAUCCUGAUUCUACUGAAACCCGAGUCUGGGGCGCAGCCAGUCCGCGGGAGCACGAGGCAGGGCGUCUGGAUGGUGAGCUGCAUUUUUUGCUUCCUGCCUUCCUGACCAUGGCAAUCACGUGGAGCAUGAGGGAGCCCGGGAGGUCGGACUGCAGUCCAGAUUAGCUCGCGGUGAAGCUGCUGACGGGCAGCAAUCAGACGCUGUUGCCAGGCUCUCAGCCCUCAGUCCUCCGGGCUAAGGGAAUCCAGGUCACGUUCUGACUCGGGGAGCCUGUGCUUGCGGGAGGUGAGGCCUUAACCCAGCCUCGGCUGGGGAAGAAUUGAGUUAGUUAAGUCAAUUAUGGUUAUUCACUUCCCUUUGCCGGUGAUUGGCUUUGGAAUGGGCACGUGACAUCAUUCUGACCAAUGAGAGGACGUCUGCUGUGAGGCAGGCUCUCCUGAGAAAGAACUCUGCUGCACUUAAAGGGGCCAGUGAUGGACAUUCUACCUUUGGACCUGUGGGUGCUGCUGGUUGAGGUGAUGAUACUUGGGGGUGCUGCAGCCACCUUGCCACGUUGAGUAGACAAAGCUGAGGUCAAGGCCAACCUGCCAAGGAUGCCAAGAGAUGAUGGGAAGAACCAGUUCCCAAGUGGUCACUGACCCACUGAGGUUAUCAACCUGGGUUUGUCUAUUUCUGGACUUUUGGUAAUAUGAGCUAAUAAAUAUCCAAGUGGGUAAGCCUUUUUGAGCUGGGCGUUUUUUCUCAUGGAGGCAGCUUCCUGUUAUAGGGGGCAGUGAAGAAGUCAGAGUUCAUGGCUGAAAGCACAGGAUGCAGACUUAGACAGACCUGAGUUCAGGUCCUUGCUCUGCCACCUACUUGCUGUGUGACCUUGGGCUUAGCUUCUCUGACCUUGAGUUUCUUCAUCUGCCUCCAAAUAAGGGAGAGCCCUGGCAGAAUCAUGGGAGGAACAGCGUGUGGAGCCCUCAGCACAGAGCCCAGCCCAGUGAGCAGUCAAUAAAUGUUAGCUCUCCCAAAGUUGGCAACCAGUCUGAAAGACUUCAUGCCCAGUCUCACAGCAGAGCUCCGUAGCCCAGGAUCUUCCAAGCACACGUUGCUCGUAGCCAUGAAGAAAUAAAAACAACCCAUGUUUGGCCCAAUCUUCUACACAUUAGGGCUUUUGAGCCUUUCCUAGGGAUACCAAUUAUGCAGCAUUUUGUGCUAGGUGGAUCUGGGAUUGUUUUAAGCUCUCUUUCAAAUGAAAGCAACAGUCUUUUUUAAAAAGUAAAAAUAAAAUGGACUCAUCACCCAACAGUAAUGCACAUGUAUGUUCAUCAAAGAAAAUAUAGAGGGAUCCACCGCUGUAUGAUUGGUACCAGCCUGUUAUGGGGUUGAAUUUUGUCCCCCACCCAAAAAGCUGCGGUAAGUCCUGACCCCAGGACCUUGGAAUUGGCCUUAUUUGGAUGGAGGGUCUUUCCAGAAGUAACAAAGCUGAAGUGAGGUCAGUAGGGUAGACCCUAGUCCUCAUCAGAAGGGAGAACUUGGACACAAAGAAACCCACAAAGGGAAGGCGAUGUGAAGACACAGAAAGAAACGCCCACCUACAAGCCACAGAGUGAGGCCUGGAACACGUCCUCCCUCCCCACACAGCCUCAGAGGGAACCAGCCCUGCUGUUGCUAUGAUCUCAGAUUUGCAGCCUCCAGAGCCAUGAGAUAAUACGUGUCCGUGCUUUAAGCCGCCCAGUCUGUGGCACUUUGUUAUGGUAGCCUGAGCAGACUAACACAGGCCCCAGGCUGGACACAACACAAAUGCCCGUCAGGAGGUGCGCAGAUAUUCUUAAGAGGCAGCAGAUACCCACUGGAAUCCCUCGAAGCCUGGCAGCCCCCCACGGAGCAGAGGGGGCCCUGUGCAUGAGGUCUCCUUUUCAGCCUCAAAAUCACCAACUUCUCAUCAUUAAAACUGAGAGAGAGAGAGAGAGAGAGAGAACACCAAAGCCUCACCGUGGAAACACAUGAACACGAAUGAGCAGGCUGUAGCGGAAGCAUGCCAUCUACUGCCAUCUGCUUCUGGUGAGGCCUCAGGGAGCUGCCAAUCAUGGCGGAAGGUGAAGGGGAGCCAGUGCAUCACACGGCAA